rnacentral:rRNA from 1 species
UACGUAGGGUGCGAGCGUUGUCCGGAAUUAUUGGGCGUAAAGGGCUCGUAGGCGGUUUGUCGCGUCGGGAGUGAAAACACCGGGCUUAACUCGGUGCUUGCUUUCGAUACGGGCAGACUAGAGGUAUGCAGGGGAGAACGGAAUUCCUGGUGUAGCGGUGAAAUGCGCAGAUAUCAGGAGGAACACCGGUGGCGAAGGCGGUUCUCUAGUACGGUACUGACGCUGAGACGCGAAAGCGUGGGGAGCGAACAGG